CAGUCAGAUAUGCCAGGUGAGAGUGCUAGGUGCAGAGUGUAAGUAGUGUAAGUGAAUUGUCUCAGAAUAAAAUUGCUGUCAGCACAGGACCUACAGGUCACUCUUUCAGUGGAGCUCCACUCAGUUUAAUUCCCAGACAGUGCUAAGACUCAUCACCUUUUAUUGUCAUUGGAAAACCUUUAUAAAGCGCUACAAAAGGAGCUGCUGGAGGAAAGUCUCUUCUUCAGCAAUGACAGAGCUGCUGCAUGUUCUCAUGUCGUGAGCAGCCCAUUCACAUCAGAGUGGACAUUUUUCACACAGAGUCUCGUUUGGUAGAAGCCAGAGUAAACCAGACUUGCCUCCUGGAACCUGCAUACCAUGACAGUCCAGAGAUCAUACUUAUGAAGAAUUUUUUCCUGAAGACUCAAGGUAAUAAUUGAAAUACAGCAAUCUAAUAAUGUACUGCUGAUCAGCUUACAGCCCCUGUUUUGAGUAAGGUGCCAAACCUACCUU
rnacentral:lncRNA from 14 species